rnacentral:rRNA from 1 species
UCCCCAAGGAGUCUAUCUAGUAUGCGAGUAAAUGAGUAUAUGAAACUUAUUUGCAGAAAAAACUUGACUGUUAUGGGACUACGAGUUGUGCACUUGUGUGCGGCUCCUCCAUCCCGGGGUAUUUCUAUCAACAUACGCAGCAAUGUGUAUGGGAAAUAUACCAUGAGCGUACUGGAUAUGACCCGAAAGAUGGUGAACUAUGCCUGAUCAGGUUGAAGUCAGGGGAAACCCUGAUGGAGGACCGAAGCAGUUCUGACGUGCAAAUCGAUUGUCGGAAUUGGGCAUAGGGGCGAAAGACUAAUCGAACCAUCUAGUAGCUGGUUACCUCCGAAGUUUCCCUCAGGAUAGCUGGAGCAUACAAUGUCCUAUAACUCAUACCUGGUAAAGCGAAUGAUUAGAGGCCUUUGGAACGAAAUGUUCUAAACCUAUUCUCAAACUUUAAAUGGGUAUGUAAGCUAACAUACUUGAUUGAUGUUGGCCUGGUGGCACAGCAAUGUGUCUGUAAGAUUAUAUGCUCCAAGUGGGCCAAGUUUUGGUAAGCAGAACUGGUGCUGCGGGAUGAACCGAACGCGUUGUUAAGGCGCCCAAAUAAACGACGCAUCAUCGAUACCAUGAAAGGUGUUGAUUGCUGAAGACAGCAGGACGGUGGACAUGGAAGUUUGUCAUCCGCUUAAGGAGUGUGUA